rnacentral:rRNA from 1 species
GAUGAACGCUGGCGGCGUGCUUAACACAUGCAAGUCGAACGGAAAGGCCCAAGCUUGCUUGGGUACUCGAGUGGCGAACGGGUGAGUAACACGUGGGUGAUCUGCCCUGCACUUCGGGAUAAGCCUGGGAAACUGGGUCUAAUACCGGAUAGGACCACAUUUUGGAUGGUGUGGUGGAAAGUUUUUCGGUGUGGGAUGAGCUCGCGGCCUAUCAGCUUGUUGGUGGGGUAAUGGCCUACCAAGGCGUCGACGGGUAGCCGGCCUGAGAGGGUGUACGGCCACAUUGGGACUGAGAUACGGCCCAGACUCCUACGGGAGGCAGCAGUGGGGAAUAUUGCACAAUGGGCGCAAGCCUGAUGCAGCGACGCCGCGUGGGGGAUGACGGCCUUCGGGUUGUAAACUCCUUUCGCUAGGGACGAAGCGCAAGUGACGGUACCUGGAGAAGAAGCGCCGGCUAACUACGUG